GACAGGCACAGCGCGGUUUCUUCCGGGUGAGGAGGAUGGGCUCUUUCAAGGACAAGCCUGGAAUUCUGUUAGCUCCAAGUUCACAGACCUGCGUCCAGAGGAAUCCUUGAGUCUUAACGGUCUCUCUUCCCACUGAAUGUCAGAAAUGAUCAAUUCUAAUCAGUGAUUGCUUUUGGGCAAUAGUUCAAUUCUGCUGUCAUCGUUUGGCUCAUGGCAUCAUAGCAUCAUCUGAGUAGCUCUGAGGGCAAGAACGCAUUUCACGACGACGGUGUUCAAGGCCAGACAGCAUUUACUCCUGUGCGUAACUAUUAGGUUGCUAUGCGGUGCAUGGGUCCACAUUUUAUUCUCCGCUUCCAUUGGGCAGAGAUGUGCAUAGGAGUCUGUGUCUUCAGAAUGUCAAACAUCUGAGUCUCUGGGAGAGGUCAUCUUUUCUUAGUUUUUGGAGAAAGAUUUGGUGCCAGGUGAGCACAACCUGGGAUUAUUGAAGUGGAUUUUCUGGGGAAGCUUUUAUAAGAUCUUAGAUUCAGCAUAGGAGGAGGGAAUGGCGUUAAGUCAGAGGUGAACCAAGAAUCCUAUGCAAACAGUUUUCAAACCCCGACCCAUAUCCCUGUGGCUGAGUCAUGCUGGAAGGGUGGAAGCCAGUGCCGGCAGGUUUGGCUGUGAGCAGCGACUUGAGGACCUCGGUCCCUGCCUCCGUGACCCACCCCCGGAACUUUUGUUUCCACAUCCUCCCAGAGCUGGGCCCCAUCCCUUCCCUGGUCUAUGUAAGUCUUACUAAUAAGUUUGGGCUGUUAGAUCACUCAAUUAUGGGAUUUUCUGUGGUCUAACUUGGGCUUCCCUGAUAGCUCAGUUGGUAAAGUAUCUGCCUGCAAUGCAGGAGACCCUGGUUUGAUUCCUAGAUCAGGAAGAUCCCCUGGAGAGGGGAUAGGCUACCAACUUCAGUAUUUUUGGGCUUCCCUGUGGUUCAGCUGGUAAAGAAUCUGGCUGCAAUGUGGGAGACCUGGGUUGGGAAGAUUCCCCUGGAGAAGGGAAAGCCUAUCCACUCAAGUAUUCUGGCCUGGAGAAUUCCAUGGCCUGUAUAGUCCAUGAGGUCGCAAAGAGUUGGACACGACCCAGUCACUUUCACAACUCGGCUUUAUGAUUUCCCCAGCUGGAGGUUUAAAUAUCUAGUAUGUCUUGCUUACUCAAUAAUAUAGUCCUUGAGGAGUUGAGCAUAUCUGUUCCUGACUGUCCUCUUAGGUUGUUGGUGGGGGUGGGGCUUGUAGAUGACUGAUGCCUUCAGAGCAGAGUGAGCUUAAACUAGCUGUAACUGCCACCUACUCCUCAGGGACUUUAAAAAUUGUGACCAUUUUCUCGAGUCUUUUCUCUCUCUCUAGUAUAGGUUUUGUAGGAGAGAAACACAGAAUUUCCUCCUGGUGCAAAGUUUUCCAAGAUAUAUGUUAUAAAGAAAUAAAAAUCCUAUUAAAAUAUUUAUAAAUCUAAACAACCCCAGAAGCCACACACACAAUUAAGCCUUUCAACCUUCUAUUCUGAAAGCCAG
ensembl:lncRNA